UUUUUGACGUGCAGGCAUCCAUGCUAGCUUGAUCCUGACUUAUGAAUCCAGCAAAGCCUGGAUAGGAACAUCUGUUUUUGACAUCAAUUUCUCCGACUCCGCAGGCUGGUUGUCUUUUUAACUCUUCGGGUGCUCCUGGCUAGACCUUGAAUUUCCUGGUCCAACUCCACAGAGGAAGAAGAGUUCCAGGGCGCCUGUGUGGCUCAGUCGAUUAUGUGUUCAACUCUUGGUUUCGGCUCAGGUCAUGAGACUGAACCCCACGUCAGGCUCUGUGCUCAGCAGAGAAACUGCUUGAGAUGCUCUCUUCCCCUGCCCCAUUCCCGCUCAUGGUAGUGUGCACACACACACUCCCCCUCUCUCAAAUAAAUAAAUAAAAUCCUUGAAAGAAGAAUAAUUCCAUU